rnacentral:rRNA from 1 species
UACGACUACAUAUCAGGCAUAUCAAUAAGCGGAGGAAAAGAAACUAGCAAGGAUUCCCCUAGUAACGGCGAGUGAAGCGGGAAGAGCUCAAAUUUGAAAUCUUCAAGGUUCUACCUUGACGAAUUGUAGUUUAAAGAAGUGUUUUCUGUUAGAGGAGUAGCAAAAGUUCCUUGGAAUAGGACAUCAUAGAGGGUGAGAAUCCCGUAUUUGGUUAUUCUUUCUAGCUUUGUGAUACACUUUCAAAGAGUCGGAUUGUUUGGGAAUGCAGUCCAAAAUGGGUGGUAAAUUUCAUCUAAAGCUAAAUAUUGGCGAGAGACCGAUAGCGAACAAGUACCGUGAGGGAAAGAUGAAAAGAACUUUGAAAAGAGAGUUAAACAGUACGUGAAAUUGUCAAAAGGGAAGCGUUUGACACCAGUGUUGUUUUUCCGAAAAUCAAUUAAGAAGGGCUUGAUUUUGUGUUGUAUUGACCUUAUCAGCUUUCUUCACUCUUUUUCGAGUCUUUCUUAAUGCACUUUUCGGUUAACAAGUCAACAUCAAUUUCUUUUGUUGUAAAAGGGUAUUUGGAAGGUGGCUUUCUUUUCGGAGAAAGUGUUUAUAGCCUUAUACCUCUACAAUCGGAGAGAUUGAGGUCUGCAGCGUAGAUCCUUCGGGGCUAGAUACACUUGUGCUAAGUUAUAGCUUUUCAUAGACAACUUGUUGACUAUGUUUAGUCAUGUAGCUUACCCGCUUGUGCUAUUUUACCUACGCUUAGGAUGUUGAUCUACAGAGCGAGAGU